GCAGCAGUAGGGAAUCUUCCACAAUGGACGAAAGUCUGAUGGAGCAACGCCGCGUGAAUGAAGAAGGCCUUCGGGUCGUAAAAUUCUGUUGUCAGAGAAGAAUGUGCGUGAGAGUAACUGUUCACGUAUUGACGGUAUCUGACCAGAAAGCCACGGCUAACUACGUGCCAGCAGCCGCGGUAAUACGUAGGUGGCGAGCGUUGUCCGGAUUUAUUGGGCGUAAAGGGAACGCAGGCGGUCUUUUAAGUCUGAUGUGAAAGCCUUCGGCUUAACCGAAGUAGUGCAUUGGAAACUGGAAGACUUGAAUGCAGAAGAGGAGAGUGGAACUCCAUGUGUAGCGGUGAAAUGC
rnacentral:rRNA from 1 species